AGUUUACUGUUUAAUAGGACUGUGCUUUGGACUCCUGUGUCUCCUCCAAGUGACUGGUAACAUUGUACUGCGUCUCCACUAUGGUCAGUCAGAAGAAAACCUCACAGAACUGGUUGAAGAGCGAGAUGAAUUGUUGAAGACCAUUGACGAAAUGGACACAAGGCUACGCAAGAAACUGGAUGAAGAUUGCCACAGUGGGAACACCACUGUCCUUGACGAGACUGACGAGUUGAACAGCAGUCGCACUGAAGACAGAGACCAGCUGCUAACCAACUACUCUUGUCCAUUGUAUGAGGCAAACAUAGCCGACAUAACUAACAGUAGUCUGAUUGACC